rnacentral:rRNA from 1 species
UACAGAGGUCUCAAGCGUUGUUCGGAUUCAUUGGGCGUAAAGGGUGUGUAGGUGGCGCGCUAAGUCGGGUGUGAAAUUUCGGAGCUUAACUCCGAAACUGCAUUCGAUACUGGCGUGCUUGAGGACUGGAGAGGAGACUGGAAUUCAUGGUGUAGCAGUGAAAUGCGUAGAGACCAUGAGGAAGACCAGUGGCGAAGGCGGGUCUCUGGACAGUUCCUGACACUGAGACACGAAGGCCAGGGGAGCAAACGGG